AACAUGGACCCGAUGGCAGUAUUCGGCUUCUCCAUUUUUUAUGGGGUAGAAUAGGUUUGACAUGUU
rnacentral:tmRNA from 1 species